rnacentral:rRNA from 1 species
GAUGAACGCUGGCGGCGUGCCUAAUACAUGCAAGUCGAGCGAACAGACGAGGAGCUUGCUCCUCUGACGUUAGCGGCGGACGGGUGAGUAACACGUGGAUAACCUACCUAUAAGACUGGGAUAACUUCGGGAAACCGGAGCUAAUACCGGAUAAUAUAUUGAAGCGCAUGGUUCAAUAGUGAAAGACGGUUUUGCUGUCACUUAUAGAUGGAUCCGCGCCGCAUUAGCUAGUUGGUAAGGUAACGGCUUACCAAGGGAACGAGGCGUAGCCGACCUGAGAGGGUGAUCGGCCACACUGGAACUGAGCCACGGUCCAGACUCCUACGGGAGGCAGCAGUAGGGAACCUUCCGCAAUGGUCGAAAGCUUGACGGAGCAACGCCGCGUGAGUGAUGAAGGUCUUCGGAUCGUAAAACUCUGUUAUUAGGGAAGAACAAAUGUGUAAGUAACUAUGCACGUCUUGACGGUACCUAAUCAGAAAGCCACGGCUAACUACGUG